rnacentral:rRNA from 1 species
UACGUAGGGUGCGAGCGUUUGCCCGGAUUUAUUUGGGGCGUAAAGGGCGCGUAGGCGGCUCAGCACGUCCGUUGUGAAAUCGCCCGGCUCAACUGGGCGGGGUCAGCGGAUACGGCUGAGCUUGAGCAAGCUAGGGGGCAAUGGAAUUCCGGUGUAGCGGUGAAAUGCGCAGAUAUCGGGAGGAACACCAGUAGCGAAGGCGACACUCU